rnacentral:snoRNA from 1 species
CCCUUCCAGAUUCCUUAACCAUCAGACCUACACACUGCUCUGAGUGGUUAUAAGAAAAAGAAAAGCGAAAUUGAAACUGACUUAAAUCAUUUGUGACACACAGCUAGUUUCAAACGAUC